GUGUAAGAUGCCAACAACAUCAAAAGAUCUUCACCAUCCUUUCUUUCAGAGCUGUUACGGUGUCCCACCAUCUCUUCGUCCUAAAUCAACUACUAUUGCUAGGACACCUCAGUCUGCAUUAAGCGGGAGGAUAGUUGCGGACCCGAAAUGCGC